GUUGUGACCUGGAGGGCACUAGGACCCAGAAAAUGGCCUCACACUAGGUGUGUAGUUGUUAUUGAUGGGGGACGCUAUUUAGUGAUCCAAUCUGCAGCCGUGCUCACUUUAAACACCGCUGUCGUCCAGCUUGUGUCAGGCCAAUCAAGCACACUUGUGGAGCUCCCUCGAGAUUCUGGCUGUGCGUUGAAACGUCGGGUUCAAAACGUAAGGUGUGUUUGUGCUGUUGCAAGCCCCCACCCGUCAGACAGGGUGGCGCGUGGAACGCGGAAGUGAACGUGAGCAGCUUUUAAUUCUUUUAACACAAUUUUAGCAUUUUAUAUUUUUAAUUAACAACUUUGUUUUAAUGUAAAUUGUGUUUUUAGAAAUUUGUGGCGUGAUUAAGGCCUACUGCCUGGAACUUUAAUGGGAGGAAAGUCAUGACUUGCUGGAAGUGUUUUCACUUGUAGGCUCUCUUCCUUAUGUUUUGAUGUGCUUUUUUUUAUUUAAAUAUGCACUGUAUCUGUUUCCAGGAUGAAUUGGUUGUGCUUUUAAUCUGCCACUAUUUUAUACCGCUACAUUUUUAUUUUUAUUGUAUUUGAUUGUGCCACUCUUUUAUUAGUUUUAAAUCAUUUUAUACCUGGGCCUUUCAGCACCAGUUUUACAAAGCAGCGGUUUUACAUGUAAUCCCUCAAGCUGUUCUUAAGUGUGUGGUUUUACUUGCAGUCUGCCCCUUUUUAUUUGUUGUGAUUUGUUUUAUUUGGGCCAGUUGCAUUUUAAGUGUGUUUUACAGUCUUGAGUUUUUACUGUUAAACUGCUGUCGGUUCUGUGCCUUCUGCCUGGCCGAAUAAAACUUUUAACUCUG